GGCCUUGUCCUCUGCUUCUCGACUUAUUGUGUAGAAGCUCCUUAGCUCUCUUCAGCCUCUGGCCAUCUUUUGAAACCAAACACCAUGCCUUCUAUUAAGUUGCAGAGUUCUGAUGGAGAGAUAUUUGAAGUUGAUGUGGAAAUUGCCAAACAGUCUGUGACUAUCAAGACGAUGUUGGAAGAUUUGGGAAUGGAAGACGAAGCAGAUGAUGACCCAGUUCCUCUACCAAAUGUUAAUGCAGCAAUAUUAAAAAAGGUCAUUCAGUGGUGCACCCACCACAAGGAUGACCCUCCUCCUCCUGAGGAUGAUGAGAACAAAGGAAAGCAAACAGACGAAAUCUCUCUUAGGGACCAAGAAUUCCUGAAAGUUGACCAAGGAACACUUUUUGAACUUAUUCUGGCUGCAAACUACUUAGACAUCAAAGGCUUGCUUGAUGUUACAUGUAAGACUUUUGCCAAUAUGAUCAAGGGGAAAACUCCUGAAGAGAUUCACAAGACCUUCAAUAUCAAAAAUGACUUUACUGAAGAGGAGGAAGCCCAGGUACGCAAAGUGAACCAGUGGUGUGAAGAGAAGUGAAAUGUAGUACGUGACACUGUUACACUGUAAGGAUUA